rnacentral:rRNA from 1 species
UACGUAGGCAGCAAGCGUUGUUCGGAAUUACUGGGCGUAAAGAGUGUGUAGGCGGUUCUCUAAGUUCGGUGUGAAAUCUCCCGGCUUAACUGGGAGGGUGCGCCGGAAACUGGAGGGCUUGAGUAUGGGAGAGGAAGGCGGAAUUCCUGGUGUAGCGGUGAAAUGCGUAGAUAUCAGGAGGAACACCUGCGGUGUAGACAGCUUUCUGGACCAUUACUGACGCUGAGACACGAAAGCGUGGGUAGCAAACAGG